AUUGAACGCUGGCGCAGGCUUAACACAUGCAAGUCGAGCGGGGGAGGUUGCUUCGGUAACUGACCUAGCGGCGGACGGGUGAGUAAUGCUUAGGAAUCUGCCUAUUAGUGGGGGACAACGUUCCGAAAGGAACGCUAAUACCGCAUACGCCCUACGGGGAAAAGCGGGGGAUCUCCGGACCUUGCGCUAAUAGAUGAGCCUAAGUCGGAUUAGCUAGUUGGUGGGGUAAAGGCCUACCAAGGCGACGAUCUGUAGCGGGUCUGAGAGGAUGAUCCGCCACACUGGGACUGAGACACGGCCCAGACUCCUACGGGAGGCAGCAGUGGGGAAUAUUGGACAAUGGGCGGAAGCCUGAUCCAGCCAUGCCGCGUGUGUGAAGAAGGCCUUUUGGUUGUAAAGCACUUUAAGCGAGGAGGAGGCUCCUUUAGUUAAUACCUAAAGAGAGUGGACGUUACUCGCAGAAUAAGCACCGGCUAACUCUGUGCCAGCCGCCGCAGUAA
rnacentral:rRNA from 1 species